rnacentral:rRNA from 1 species
UACGAAGGGGGCUAGCGUUGCUCGGAAUCACUGGGCGUAAAGGGUGCGUAGGCGGGUCUUUAAGUCAGAGGUGAAAUCCUGGAGCUCAACUCCGGAACUGCCUUUGAUACUGAGGAUCUUGAGUUCGGGAGAGGUGAGUGGAACUGCGAGUGUAGAGGUGAAAUUCGUAGAUAUUCGCAAGAACACCAGUGGCGAAGGCGGCUCACUGGCCCGAUACUGACGCUGAGGCACGAAAGCGUGGGGAGCAAACAGG